rnacentral:rRNA from 1 species
AUUGAACGCUGGCGGCAUGCCUUACACAUGCAAGUCGAACGGCAGCACGGGAGCAAUCCUGGUGGCGAGUGGCGAACGGGUGAGUAAUAUAUCGGAACGUGCCCAGUCGUGGGGAUAACGUAGAGAAAUUUACGCUAAUACCGCAUACGAUCUAAGGAUGAAAGCGGGGGGACCGUAAGGCCUCGCGCGAUUGGAGCGGCUGAUAUCAGAUUAGGUUGUUGGUGAGGUAAAAGCUCACCAAGCCGACGAUCUGUAGCUGGUCUGAGAGGACGACCAGCCACACUGGGACUGAGACACGGCCCAGACUCCUACGGGAGGCAGCAGUGGGGAAUUUUGGACAAUGGGCGCAAG